GUCGGCGCUUUUACACUCAAUGAAGACUACGCUAAACAGUAUACGAAUGCCAGAAAGGCAGAAGCUAAUCCUCUAAUACUGUAUGGACUCCUAAGCACGCCAUUCUUCUUCAUCGUCAAAUCCACACUGUCCCAGGUAAUAAACUCUUUUUUCCAUCUACAUCUUAAUUACUUUGUAUAUUUUUCUUUUUGGCUUUUUCUCUGGAAAAAAUUACUACUUUUCAUUCUAUUCUUUUCCCUCUGGGUAUGGAUAAGGCUUUGUUUGUAUUUGCAUUGUUUGAACCGUACUCAUAGGAAGCUUCCUGUGCCAUUUUUUUGACACUUUCUGCGAUAUGAUUGAGUGCCACUAGAAAAAAAAUGCCACUAAAAACUGAGUCUCCCCUUUACAUUUUUGUGUGGUUUGCAUUGGCUGAUACCAAUGCCUUGGAGGGAUUUUGGAUCUCUUUCCUUCUUCAAGAUUUUCAUGGGCAUCUUUAAGGUUAGUGUGUUUUUGGAGAAGUUUCUUUCCCUUUUUUCUUUAGCCUUGUAACUGUCAAGUAUAUGGGUUUUUAUCAUACGUGGAUAUUGUUUGUUAUUUUUGAUGUCCUUGCAACUGUCCGGGUUGUAUCAAUUGUAUCAGUGAUUUUGAGUCCUUUUUUCACUACUCAGAAAAUAAUAGGGCUAGGUCAAGUAAACGGCUUCAUUUUCUUAUGCAUUCAUUUUUCUUCUGUGCAACACAUUAUUAUCUGCUAGAAGUGACAAUUUAGCAAAAUAUAUUAAUGAUAUGGAAAAAUUCUGGCGAGCAUGACAGUCGACUCCUCCUAAAGCAGAUAGAAAUCAUUUUAUAACUGUGAGAUAAUGUGAUUGAAAUUAAUACUUGUAUUAAUAAGCACUGGAUUGCAAUUUAACCUCUGCAGACUAUGGACAAUUUUUCUUCAAUCUUUUAUUUCACCAAGAACUAGUUUAGAUUUGCAAUUUUCUCAAAUUUAAUAUAGAAUUUUGUAUGUCAGCUGUUUGAAUGUGCUCCGGUCAUGUUUCUUUGUGGCAUGUUGAAUUUCGUCCAAAGAACAGAGCUCUAUAUCUGGUUGUUAUUUUAAUGAAGUAGAGUAUUGGAAAUGGAACUCUAGAAACAGACCCUUUCCUUUGCACAUUUUAGCACGAAGUUGCAGCUCUUAAAGCAUGAAUCUGCAAUUUUUUUUUUUUAACUAGAAAUUCAAGUCUUUUACCAUUGCUCCAUUGCAGUAGUAUAGCCCUUCAAUUAAUUCAAAUAUUUUACCAUUGCAGUAGACAAUGGCCCAUACAUUUGUUCAAAUGAUGCUUAUACUGUGCUCUUUCUUGAGAAUUUUGGAGUUUCUGUAAAUAACUUAAAUAAGCAACAAAGCUUUAAUCAUACUUUUAACUACCUGAUUUUGGCUAUUUCUGCCUUUUCCUUUAGCAUAUAGCAUAUUUUGACAAGAUAUGCUUUCAUUAAAUUUCCAUAUCUGCUGCUGCUUCUUCUCAAGAUUACUUAAAUUUCAACUCUCCAUCUCAUUUAUCACUCUUAUCGUGCAAACUCAGCUUCAUUAACAAAUAUUUAAAUUAAGCAGUGGUGGGCAUAGCCUAGUGGUAGCUGCAUAUAUGUUGAACCUAGAAGACUCAGGUUCAACUCCCCACUCCCUCGUCCCCCCUCCCCCCAGAUAUGUAAUAAGAAAAUAUAUUCAAAAUAAGCCAUAGGUUUAGAAAUAGCUCAAUAAGGGAAUGAGGAAGUAAAGUUUACAGGUUUUGUAAACAGCACACGUCUGUAAUGGUUUAACUUUUCUCUAAUGGCAAUUCCCAAAGCUAUUGCCUGCACUUUGGCAAGUAAAAGUGUAGCUAUUGGAGGCAUUUUUUGAUAGCACAUUUGUAAAUAUUUAGUUAGUAAGCUAUCGGCUUAUUAGAUAGAAUGGCAAUUCAGAGCAGAUGCUGGAUAAGCUACAUGGUAGAGCCAGUUGACGGUUUUAAUUGUGGCCAGUGCUUUGGUUUGUUGUCAACUAAAUUUUAUUUUGGAAGCAUGGUGGGUUUAGCAACUUCACUGUGUGUAGAAAGUUUGAUAACCUUUAGUUACUUUUAGCCAGUAUGAUUCAUAUUUGAAAAUCUUAUCUUCAACCUUAUGUAAGACCCCAUUCCCACAUCAGAAAGGGACUAACACUUUGGGGUUAACUCGGGUUAACUUUGCGGUUCUGGCUCUGCCCCAAUUGUUAGGCUAGUAGUCCACACAGCCCUAGGUCUUGACAGUGGAAUCAGAGUAACCUACCAGUCUGAGUGCAGAGCUAAGUGCUACACUGUGGAAAUUGGUGGGAUCCACCUCUAGAAUCCAUGGCUUGCCUGGUGGGCCAAGAUUAUGGGCUAUUGACCUAUGGUCUGGCCUUGGUGAACGGGAUAGGUGAUGACAGUUCGUGAGUUUGCUAUCAUGCUGUAGUUUGAAAAGAAUGAAAAACCUUGUCAUUCUUUCUGGGAUUUUCCUUUGUUUGACCUUCCAUGGUGGGACAAAAGGGUGUUAAAGUACAUUGAAAACUGUUGGGGAAUUAUUCUAAACUAUUUAUUUAGUAGUAUGUUUGUAAGUGUUUCACGGACUGAAGAAUCUUCAUGGUGGCUCUAAGCAGUAUUUUAUGGUAGCUAACAAGCAAGUAGCUUUGUUUCUUGGGUAACUUAUUUUACAGAUUGAUGAGCAAUGGCAUGUUCAUGAUCGAAGUCUUGAAUGACUAAUGUCAUACUGUCAUUUCAGUUUUUGCCAAUGUCCAAUGACAAAUUCAUGAUCGAAGUCUUGAAUGACUAAUGUCAUACUGUCAUUUCAGUUUUUGCCAAUGUCCAAUGACAAAUUCAUGAUCGAAGUCUUGAAUGACUAAUGUAAUAUUGUCAUUUCACUUUUUGCUACUGUCCUUGGGCCCAUUAGUAGUGUAACGUAUAUAAAGCAUGAUAUGCAACAUAUCAAAUAAACAUGAUUGGCAUCAUCACUGAGAUUUCAUGGUGAUAUAGAAUUGUAAUUUGGCGUUGUAUGCAGUUAAUGCAGUUUGCAUAUUUCCUUAGUUUUCCAUUGAGAACUUCAUUUAAUCCCAAAAGUUGCUAAAAGUGAAUCAGAAUAUGACCAACAAAUAUUGAAAAUAAAAUUUGUAUCUGAGGUUAAAUUUAUUGAAUUUACGACGGCAAUCAUACUAUUGGUUUACCCUGAGUAUUGAUUUGUUGGGGUUAUCUAGGAUGCAUCAACUAAGAGGCUGGAGAUUACAGCAAAUACUUGCCAAUCUUUUUCAUCUCUUGACCUUGCUUUGAUAGAACACAAGAAUAAAGAGUACAAGAUGAGGGAGGUUCAGCUUGGUUCGCACACCGUGAUGUCCCAUGGAGUUACAGUUGCAAGGACACACAUGCAUGAUUGGCUUAUACUUUUGGUUCUUGUGGUGAUAGAGGUCAUUCUAUAUGUUAUUCAUCCAUUUUAUCGGUAUGUUGGGAAGGAUAUGAUGACAGAUCUUAAGUACCCCUUCAAAAGUAAUACACUGCCUGUUUGGGCUGUCCCA
rnacentral:misc_RNA from 1 species